rnacentral:rRNA from 1 species
GAUGAACGCUGGCGGCGUGCCUAAUACAUGCAAGUCGAGCGAACAGACGAGGAUCUUACUCCUCUGACGUUAGCGGCGGACGGGUGAGUAACACGUGGAUAACCUACCUAUAUGACUGGGGUAACUUCGGGUAACAGGAGCUAAUACCGGAUCACUUGUUGAAUCGUAUGGUUCAGCUGUGAAAGAAGGUCUUGCUGUCUAUUAUUGAUGGCUCCGAGUCGCAAUUGUUAGUUGGUAUGGUAACGGCCUACCAAGGCAACGAUGCGUAGGCGACCGGAGAGGGUGGUCGGCCACACGCGAAGUGACACACGGUCCAGACUCCGACGGGAGGCAGGAGUAGGUAAGCUACCGCAGUGAACGAAAGCCUGACGGAUCAACGCCGCGUGAGUGAAGAAGGACUGCGGUUCGUAAAACACUGUUAUUAGAGAAGAACAAAAAUGUAAGUAACUAUGCACAUCUUAACGGAACCUAAUCAGAAAGCCACGCCUAACUACGU